ACGGUCGUGCACGCCUCGGUACUCUCACAUAAAAUCCAUCUCACCCCUCUUGUGCAUCACCGCGUGGAGGCCCCUUUUGGCUAGUUCUAAAGGGGGUUUUCGUGUUUUUAUACAUACACCGUUUUAAUGCAAUGCGUAGAAUGUCAUACUUUUGCGAUCACACGCAAUUAAUACAACUUUCAACAACGGAUCUCUUGGCUCUCGCAUCGAUGAAGAACGCAGCGAAAUGCGAUACGUAAUGUGAAUUGCAGAAUUCAGUGAAUCAUCGAAUCUUUGAACGCACCUUGCGCCCUUUGGUAUUCCGAAGGGCACACCCGUUUAAGUGUCGUGACAUCCUCAAACCUUCUUGGUUUCUUGACCAGGAAGGCUUUGGACUCUGGAGGUUUUUGCUGGCCUUACUUUGUUGAAGCCAGCUCCUCUAAAAUGGAUUAGUGGGAUCUGCUUUGCGGAUACUUGACGGUGAUGAGAUAUUUCUACGUCUUGGAUCUCGCACUGUUCGCUCUGGAUCCUGCUUCUAACCGUCUCAUAGAAGACAAUGGGUUAAGU
rnacentral:rRNA from 1 species